GCUUCGAGAGGAUUUCGUGUGUUUGCUAUCCUUGUGGUUCCUUGCAGAAGGGCACGGAGAGGCCGAAAUAAGGCUACCCGGUGUAGCAAGAACUUGGCACUUAAUCUUUCAAACAUGCUGUCCAGGGUCGUUUUUGUUUCAGCCAGUGCCCUGAAAGGAGGUUCUCCCCUUGGAGCUGGUCUUGUCCAGGCAUCUCGCUCCCUGCACACAUCAUCCCAGAGUCUGGCCCCAGUGCCCCCUCUGCCAGAGAAGGGAGGCAAGGUCCGUCAUGGCCUCAUCCCAGAGGAGUUCUUCCAGCUCCUGUACCCCAAAACUGGAGUGACAGGU